CAGCAACAAACCAGGACUUUUUCUAGAAGUGGGAUGUGGGGGGAGAUCCCCAGGUGAAUUAGGAGAAGGAAGUAAACAUGAUGUUACAGUGAGGUCAGCCGCAAACCCCAGCACCCUUUGCUUCCUGGGAAGCUGUGUGUCCAGAUCCGCCCCAGAGAGGGGUAAGGCAGAAUCUGGGUCAGGUUUUAACAUUCGAAGCGCUUUCUGCAGAGUGUGGAGGUUUGAACGCCUCUCAGUGGAACUACCGGGGGCCUCUUAUCUCAAACAAUGAAGAAGUGUUUGCUUCUGAGCCUCUUCCUAGCGACUCGGUGUCCAGGUGCUGUGUCGGGCAAUUCCAUCCAAUCCAUUGAACCCGACGUGUCUGUCAUAGAAGGAGACCCUGUGGCACUCAGCUGCUCCUACAGCACCAGCUAUAGCGGUGUCUCUCUCCACUGGUACCGCCAGAGCCCCCGCCAAGCCCCUCAGUACAUUCUCCAGAGAGGCGCGAAGGGAAGCACCAUCAGUGACCACGCAGAUUUUGCCCGGAGGAGGUUCACUUCUGACACGAACGCCACUUCUACAGUUCUGACCAUCGCAGACCUGGAGCUGGCGGACGAAGCUGUGUAUUAUUGUGCGUUGAAUGAGACACAGUGAGAGAGCCCCCGGAGACAGCUGCACAAAAACCCUCCCACAUCCCUCACUUGCAUUCUUCCCCAUCUGUCUUGGCUGUUGAGUUUGAAAAACCUUUGAAGCAGGAGCUGUCCCUCACUAGGUGUCUGUGCAGCCCCCUGCCUGACAGGGCCAGCCCAGAUCUCAGUUUUAUUGUCUAGGUGCCAUCACCAUGACCGUCAAUUUCCAACUGUGUGCUAGGAAAUACUUGGUCUCAGCGUUUUAAUCUGAUUUCGGGUUUUGAACAGCAGAUUCCCAUUAAAAAUGAACAGGGACGGAUAUAAUAGAUUGACAGAUUUUAAAAACCAGAAGGCACCGAUCUGAUCGAAUCUGACUCCUGCAUAGCACAGGUCAGAGAAUGUCAUCUCACAAGUCCUGCUUUCAGGAAAACAUUUUCAAAAAUUCCUUUUGACAAUGGAGCACUAUAGAAUUGCAAGCGCUCCCGUGACAGCGCUUUGAUGUGUGAGUGUGGUGGCGCUCAAACUUGCUGCUCUGGGUGUGUGUGUGUGGGGGGGGGGUGAUUUUUCAGGGGUUAGAGCAAGUUAAAGCGCUAUAGAAUGAUAAGUGUAGGCAAAUAUACCUUUUACUGGGCACCUCACGGCCCCAUAAAAUGUAUUUAUUUUCACAUCGUUUCCGUGAUAUAAGGCAGCACCAUGAUCUUCAUUUUGGGGAUGAGGUCCUGAAGCACAGAGAACUAACAAGUCACCCACCCAAGGUCACACAGAUAGUCUUUGGUAGAGCAGGGACGAGAAUCGUGCAAAGUUACAGCGCUGCUCAGAGAGCGCAGAAAGAAAACUGCAGUGGUGUGUUCACACCGACAGCUGCCUGCACGACAGCGUGUUCACACUGGCAGCAUUCACUGCGCUUUUCAGAGCGGUGCACUCUGGGCAGCUGUCCCACAGAGCACCUCUUUCUCUUUUGCUGCUAAGACUUGUGGGAAGGCGGAGGGGACCAAGGGACAUGCUGGGUCCUGUCCCAAUGCC